GAUCAGGUAGGAUACCCGCUGAACUUAAGCAUAUCAUU
rnacentral:rRNA from 1 species